UCCUUUUUUUCCCCUUUAGAAGUAAAAGUCGUAACAAGGUCUCCGUUGGUGAACCAGCGGAGGGAUCAUUACAGAGUUACUACUCCAAACCCAUUGUGAACCUUACCUAUGUUCUGUUGCCUCGGCGGCGUGGUCAGCGCCCCUCUGAAAAGAGGACGAUGCCCUCCCGCCGGCAGCACCAAACUCUUGAAUUUUACAGCGGAUUACAAUUCUGAUUUGAAAACAAAAAACAAGUUAAAACUUUCAACAACGGAUCUCUUGGUUCUGGCAUCGAUGAAGAACGCAGCGAAAUGCGAUAAGUAAUGUGAAUUGCAGAAUUCAGUGAAUCAUCGAAUCUUUGAACGCACAUUGCGCCCGGCAGUAAUCUGCCGGGCAUGCCUGUCCGAGCGUCAUUUCAACCCUCGAACCUCCGUUUCCUUAGGGAAGCUCAGGGUCGGCGUUGGGGCGCUACGGCGAGUCUUCGCGACCCCCGUAGGCCCUGAAAUACAGUGGCGGUCCCGCCGCGGUUGCCUUCUGCGUAGUAAGUCUCUUUUGCAAGCUCGCAUUGGGUCCCGGCGGAGGCCUGCCGUCAAACCUAUAACUUCAGAUGGUUUGACCUCGGAUCAGGUAGGGUUACCCGCUGAACUUAAGCAUAUAUC
rnacentral:rRNA from 1 species